GCCGUCGUGGCGCAAUGGUAGCGCGUUGCUUUCCUACUCAGAGAGUAAGGCAAAGGUUGCGAGUUCGAUCCUCGCCGUCGGUU